rnacentral:rRNA from 1 species
GACGAACGCUGGCGGCGUGCCUAAUACAUGCAAGUAGAACGCUGAAGAGAGGAGCUUCCUCUUCUUGGAUGAGUUGCGAACGGGUGAGUAACGCGUAGGUAACCUGCCUUGUAGCGGGGGAUAACUAUUGGAAACGAUAGCUAAUACCGCAUAACAAUGGAUGACACAUGUCAUUUAUUUGAAAGGGGCAAUUGCUCCACUACAAGAUGGACCUGCGUUGUAUUAGCUAGUAGGUGAGGUAAUGGCUCACCUAGGCGACGAUACAUAGCCGACCUGAGAGGGUGAUCGGCCACACUGGGACUGAGACACGGCCCAGACUCCUACGGGAGGCAGCAGUAGGGAAUCUUCGGCAAUGGGGGCAACCCUGACCGAGCAACGCCGCGUGAGUGAAGAAGGUUUUCGGAUCGUAAAGCUCUGUUGUAAGUCAAGAACGGGUGUGAGGGUGGAAAGUUCACACUGUGACGGUAGCUUACCAGAAAGGGACGGCUAACUACGUG